AUACGUUGGAAGAAGAGAAGCAGGAAGAGAAGCCCAAUAUUCAUUGUGUUUUCAGAGGAAGUAAUGUAUCUGCUGCAUCCAGGGAUGGAGGUGAAGAUCUUGAGGGAGGCUGCAGAAACAAACUUUUAAACGAAAGGUAACUUCUAGGCAUAGGAAAAAACAUAUGGAUGUUUUUGUUUUCCAUUGUAUUUUUAAUAACAUGUAGAAAAUACACUUUAUGGCACUGUCAAGAAGCAUUAUGACCAUCAUAAUCAUAUAAGCCAGAUAGGCCUAUCACACACAGCACAUGCCCUUGUGUCAGUCAUCAGUCACAAAGAGGGUGUCUUAUCCUGCUCCUAAAAUCUGCUCCUGCAUUCAUCCCAGUCAUCAGCAAUAGAGGUAGGUACAUGUCUGACAGCAAUGGGUGUGCAAUUUCAAUGAUAAUUUAAUAUGGUAGAUUUUAGAAAAUGUUAUAUAACAUAAGCAUAACGUUUACAAGUAGGCUAGGGUGUAAUGGAAUAGUUUGCCUUGUUUUGUGGGUUUUGACACUCUUAUGUAGGUGUCAUAACCAGCCAUAAAAAUAUCACAAUAUGUCACAACUAAAUAUGUGUCAAUGCCAGUGUUAUGACCAUAUUAUGGCAGGAUAUGACAUUAUGACAUGGUUAUGACUGUUUCAUAAGUAUUACCGAAACGUUAUGCUGAAGUACUGAAACUCCCACAUGUUGUUUCUUAACGUUUCAUUAAGUUUUUGAGGACAUUCCCAAUGUCAAACCAGUUGCACAACUUUCAUAGAACAUUACCAACAUUUGAAUGAAAUGUAACCGUGUUUGAACUUUUAGGAAACGUUCUGUUAAAGUAAUGAUAUACCAAGAAAAUAAAUAUUGUAUUUUUGUCAAGUUCCAUAAAUGUGCUGAGAAUGUUCCAAAGCCAAGCAGCUGUCCUGCACCAUUCCCAGAAAGUUAUGGGAAGGUUGUUUGCUAAAUAACCUUAGGACAACCACGAUCUCACCAAGCUCUAAGAAACACAUGGUUCUCAAAGGGUUAUGUGCUAGCUGGGAUGUGUCUGUCCUCACUCUACUAAGCAGACUGGUCUUCAGCAGACUGGUCUUCAGCAGACUGGUCUUCAGCAGACUGGUCUUCAGCAGACUGGUCUUCAGCAGACUGGUCUUCAGCAGACUGGUCUUCAGCAGACUGCUGUUACACAGUGUUUGCAUAAGAACAUGGCCAAUAAUUGCCUUUUGAGGAAAGCAUGCUGGUAACUGAUAAUAACAUCUGCUAACCAUGUGUAUGUGACCAAUAAAGUUGGAUUUGAUUUGA